UUUACGGUUCGUUGCGCCCAUCGAAAUAUAAAAGACGGGAAAAGGGGUUGUUGCCACCCAGUCCACUUUUAAAACAGCGUUAUACGAACAUACCGAGUUCCUCAAGAUGAACAACAACAAGUUGGUAUCAAUCCUCUUGAUGGUAUUACUGGUGGUCAGUUUGUCCACGGAUUCGGAAGGAAGAAGAAGACGACGAUAUGGUAAAAUUCGCCCAAUUGAAUCUGACUCGAUUGACAAUGAAGAUUUGAAGAGGAUCUUGAAGAGGGCUGCGGAGGGAUCAGACGAACAGGAUAAAGAACUUGGUAUCGACGGGGAGUGAUUUACAAACACCUGCUACCGUACAAACCGCUCAAGACGAACCCAACGACACCUUCGCUGAUCUAUUAAUCGUGCCAGCAAUUAAUACCAGAGAUGUAGUAGGCAACUUAAUAAAUAAUAUCAGUUGGGUUGCAAUACACAAACACUAACAUUGAAACUUUAACAUUUAGAAACUUAGCUUUUACCUUCAGUCAUAUACUGGAAAUAUACGUAAGCCUUGGCUACGACAAACUAGCCAGCAAUCCUGAACUUUAAUCGCCACCUGGAGAUUUAUACUUGUAGUUAUUAUUGAAGUAAAUGCUGCUUAUCUAAUAAUGUUAUCGAUCAAUUAACGGAAGAAAAAGAUCGGUUUGAUUUCAUAUAAUAAUUGAAAGAGACUAAACUUCGUUCCUUUUAGAACCGCAAGGCACUGUGCGCUAUUUGGUAACUUGCUGCCGCUCAGCCCGGACAUGUAUGUGAGGCAAAUAUAACAAUAUACGUGCCUCUGUGCUUUAAUGGAAAUAACACGUGUUUUCUUAAGGAAAAUAAACAGAUAACAUGCUUGUACAUGUGUCUAUAAGAA
rnacentral:lncRNA from 1 species